GUAGGCGUGCAUGUUUUCUAGUACACGUUUUCAGUUAAAGUUUCGUGACUAGAUUACAUGCUCGUCUAUA
rfam:Anopheles gambiae str. PEST chromosome 2R, whole genome shotgun sequence.